rnacentral:rRNA from 1 species
AUUGAACGCUGGCGGCAUGCCUUACACAUGCAAGUCGAACGGCAGCACGGGAGCAAUCCUGGUGGCGAGUGGCGAACGGGUGAGUAAUAUAUCGGAACGUGCCCAGUCGUGGGGGAUAACGUAGCGAAAGCUACGCUAAUACCGCAUACGAUCUAUGGAUGAAAGCGGGGGAUCGCAAGACCUCGCGCGAUUGGAGCGGCCGAUAUCAGAUUAGGUAGUUGGUGGGGUAAAAGCCUACCAAGCCUUCGAUCUGUAGCUGGUCUGAGAGGACGACCAGCCACACUGGGACUGAGACACGGCCCAGACUCCUACGGGAGGCAGCAGUGGGGAAUUUUGGACAAUGGGCGCAAGCCUGAUCCAGCCAUGCCGCGUGCGGGAAGAAGGCC